rnacentral:rRNA from 1 species
GUAGUCAAAAGGGAAAGAGCCCAGACCUACAGCUAAGGUCCCUAAAUGAAUUUAAGUGGAAAAGGAUGUGCAGUUGCGUAGACAACUAGGACGUUGGCUUAGAAGCAGCCACUCAUUUAAAGAGUGCGUAAUAGCUCACUAGUCGAGUGAUUGUGCGCCGAAAAUGUAACGGGGCUAAAAUUCAUACCGAAGCUUAGGAAUGAUAGUAAUAUUGUUGGUAGAUGAGCGUUGUGUAAGUCUGCGAAGCUACACCGAAAGGAGUAGUGGAGAUAUCACAAGUGAGAAUGCCGGAAUGAGUAGCGAGAAUUAUGUGAGAAUCAUAAUGGUCGAAAAUCUAAGGUUUCUUGAGGAAGGUUCGUCCGCUCAAGGUAAGCCGGGAGCUAAGGCGAGGCCGAGAGGCGUAGUCGAUGCACAUACGGUAAAGAUUCCGUAGCCGCCGAAGUCGUUAAAUACAGGGACACAGGAACAUAGCCUAACCCCACCGUUGGUUGAGUGGGGCGUAAGGGAGCGAAAAUUAGUAGCGAAGUAGGUGAUUGUACACUGGCGAGAAAAGCUGUAUGAAUUGACAAGGUGCCCGUACCGCAAACCGACACAGGUAGAUGAGGAGAGAAUCCUAAGACCAGCGGGAGAAGUGUUGUUAAGGAACUCGGCAAAAUGACCCCGUAACUUCGGGAUAAGGGGAGCCUACGCGAGUAGGCCGCAGAGAAUAGUCUCAAGCGACUGUUUAGCAAAAACACAGGUCUAUGCUAAAUCGAAAGAUGAUGUAUAUGGGCUGACGCCUGCCCGGUGCUGGAAGGUUAAGGGGAAGUGUUAGAGCAAUCGAAGCACUGAACUUAAGCCCCAGUAAACGGCGGCCGUAACUAUAACGGUCCUAAGGUAGCGAAAUUCCUUGUCAGGUAAGUUCUGACCCGCACGAAUGGCGUAACGACUUGAGAGCUGUCUCAACAACAUACCCGGCGAAAUUGAAGUACUGGUAAAGAUGCCAGUUACCCGUGAUAAGACGGAAAGACCCCAUGGAGCUUUACUGUAACUUGAUAUUGAAUUUUUGUAUUACAUGUACAGGAUAGGUGGGAGACAGAGAACUAAUGCCGCCAGGUGUUAGGGAGUCGAUGUUGGGAUACCACUCUUGUAAUAUGAAGGUUCUAACCUGCACCCGUGAAUCCGGGUGGGGGACACUGUCAGGUGGACAGUUUGACUGGGGCGGUCGCCUCCUAAAAGGUAACGGAGGCGUUCAAAGGUUGGUUCAGCACGGACGGAAAUCGUGCAACGAGUGCAAACGCAUAAACCAGCCUAACUGCGAGACCGACAAGUCGAGCAGUAACGAAAGUUGGAGUUAGUGAUCCGGCGGUAUGAGAGUGGAAUUGCCGUCGCUCAACGGAUAAAAGCUACCCUGGGGAUAACAGGCUGA